rnacentral:rRNA from 1 species
CUACGGGUCGCUCCAGUAGGGAAUAUUGCACAAUGGGCGAAAGCCUGAUGCAGUAACGCCGCGUGCGCGAUGAAGGCCUUCGGGUUGUAAAGCGCUUUUCUGAGGGAAGAGGAAGGACUGUACCUCAGGAAUAAGUCUCGGCUAACUACGUGCCAGCAGCCGCGGUAACGCGUAGGAGGCAAGCGUUAUCCGGAUUUACUGGGCGUAAAGCGCGUGUAGGCGGUUUGGCAAGUCGGAUGUGAAAGCUCCUGGCUCAACUGGGGAGGUCGUUCGAAACUGCCAGACUAGAGGACGGUAGAGGAAGAUGGAAUUCCCGGUGUAGUAGUGAAAUGCGUAGAUAUCGGGAGGAACACCAGUGGCGAAGGCGGUCUUCUGGGCCGUUCCUGACGCUGAGACGCGAAAGCAUGGGUAGCGAACGGGAUUAGAUACCCCCGUAGUC